AGCAAUCUGCCUUGGAGUGGGGAAUAACGGCUGGAAACAGCCGCUAAUACCGCAUGAUACAGCUGGGAGGCAUCUCCCUGGCUGUCAAAGAUUUAUCGCUCUGAGAUGAGCUCGCGUCUGAUUAGCUAGUUGGCGGGGUAACGGCCCACCAAGGCGACGAUCAGUAGCCGGACUGAGAGGUUGGCCGGCCACAUUGGAACUGAGACACGGUCCAAACUCCUACGGGAGGCAGCAG
rnacentral:rRNA from 1 species